CCUACCCCCUCCUGUCCUCGGCCGCAGCCACUGAGUCGCCUCCUGCCUCCACCCUUCCCCCUCGUGUGCCGCCUCUAUCCUGCCUCUGCACCUCCGCCGCCACCCUUCCCGUCCACCACUCUGCUCCUUGACCAUCCCCUCGCCGACCCCGACCCUCCCCUCGCCAACCACCACGAUGCCUCCUGGUUGUAAGCGGGGAACAGGCAAGGCCCAAGCAGCAGUCUUCGAGUAUUGUAGUGUUGCUGGCAAAGGCAAACACCUGAAUUUAGGAACGAUGAGCAUUGAAACAACCAAAAAGACCUACUAUGGCCUGCUGAUACAAACUAAUAGCUCUUCUGAUGGAAGUGCGCAACUGGACAUGAAGUGAUGUGGUGUGAAGAGCUACUGUGUUGUUCCAUGUACAUGUGUGAUAUGUUUAAUGUGAUUUGACAAUGGAUGCGUACAUUUUGAUUUUUGAAAUCGUUUCAAUAUAUGCUUUGGGCUUAUGGUCCGCCACAAUGGUCUUCAUCCACAUUUGUCUGGGUUGUAAUGCAAAUGUAGAAUUGGGCCUUUUUGGCAAUUGAAUAUUUUGUGACGAAUCAAAUUGUCACAAUGGGCUUGCCACAUCA